rnacentral:rRNA from 1 species
CACACGCUACAAUGGGAAGGGACAAUAGGUUGCGAAGCCGCGAGGCGGAGCCAAUCCAGCAAAACUUCCCUCAGUUCAGAUUGCAGGCUGCAACCCGCCUGCAUGAAGUUGGAGUUGCUAGUAAACGCAGGUCAGCCAUACUGCGUUGAAUACGUUCCCGGGGCUU